rnacentral:rRNA from 1 species
GACGAACGCUGGCGGCGUGCUUAACACAUGCAAGUCGAGCGGUAAGGCCCUUUCGGGGUACGACGAGCGGCGAACGGGUAGAGUAACACGUGGGUGACCUGCCUCUAGCUCUGGGAGUAAGCCUGGGAAGGCUGGGUCUAAUACCGGAUAUGACCUCGCGGUGCAUGUUGCGGGGUGGAAAGCCUUGUGCGGCUAGGGAUGGCCCGCGCCUAUCAGCUUGUUGGUGGGGUGAGGCCUACCAAGGCGACGA